rnacentral:misc_RNA from 1 species
AGAUCAUAUCUAGGGUUUCCAAAAUGAGAGAGAUCAUCAUCAUCCACAUCGAUCAGGCCGGGAUCCAGGUCGGCUGCUUCUGCUAGGAGCUCUACUGCCUCGAGCAAGACAUCUAUCCCGAUGGCCAGAUGCCCAGAUCGGAUGCUCUGAUUUGAAGUACAUUAGGAGAUUUUACUGCUAGAACGGGUUAAUUUGGGGGUUUGUUGCUUUAUCUCGAUCAAUU